GACGAACGCUGGCGGCGUGCCUAACACAUGCAAGUCGAACGGGACCGGGGGCAACUCCGGUUCAGUGGCGAACGGGUGCGUAACACGUGAGGAACCUGACCAUCGGUGGGGGAUAGCCGGCCCAACGGCCGGGUAAUACCGCGUACGACCUUCGGGGGGCAUCUCCUGGGGGUGAAAGCAGCAAUGCGCCGAUGGAGGGCCUCGCGGCCUAUCAGCUAGUUGGUGAGGUAACGGCUCACCAAGGCGACGACGGGUAGCUGGUCUGAGAGGAUGGCCAGCCACAUUGGGACUGAGACACGGCCCAGACUCCUACGGGAGGCAGCAGUGGGGAAUCUUGCGCAAUGGGCGAAAGCCUGACGCAGCGACGCCGCGUGUGGGAUGACGGCCUUCGGGUUGUAAACCACUGUCGGGAGGGACGAAGCUCUGACGGUACCUCCAAAGGAAGCACCGGCUAACUCUGUGCCAGCAGCCGCGGUAAUAC
rnacentral:rRNA from 1 species